rnacentral:ncRNA from 1 species
CUUAUUUAGAGUGGCUGAGGGGAUAGGCCCUGUGAAGCCCGGCAACCUGCUUUGAGCAAGGUGCCAAUUCCUACGGUAUUAACCGAAAGAUAAGG